rnacentral:lncRNA from 1 species
UAUUACUUGACACAAAGUCUUUUAAAUUAUAUAUAUAAAUCAAUUAAAAUACUACACAUUAUGCUUGUCAACGCAUUAAUAAUUUUUCAAAAAACCUUCAAGAUUACUCAAUUUUGCCCCCCACCCCCCUAUUAGAUAAGUUUUGAAAUGACUCGACCUGCCAACAAUAAUAACUCGUUGGGUCAAACCACCGGCCCAAAAUGCAAAUAACUCGUUUGGCCAAACCAUCGAACUAAAAUACUUAAUGUGCAGUUAUUAUUACUAGCGUGUAAGGCUCAUAUAAACUGAUCUGGAUUAGUAUUUCAUCCGAUAUGGAAUACUAUUGAGGCGUUACAAGAUUAAAACAGGAGUAUUUGUA